GCCAGUGUGGCUCAGUGGUUGAGCAUUGAUCCAUAAACCAGAAGGUCAAGGUUCAAUUCCUGGCCAGGGCA
rfam:Myotis brandtii contig274243, whole genome shotgun sequence.